rnacentral:rRNA from 1 species
CGGCGCACCCAGAAACCCUUUGUGAACUUAUACCUAUCUGUUGCCUCGGCGCAGGCCGGCCUCUUCGCUGAGGCCCCCUGGAGACAGGGAGCAGCCCGCCGGCGGCCAACUAAACUCUUGUUUCUACAGUGAAUCUCUGAGUAAAAAACAUAAAUGAAUCAAAACUUUCAACAACGGAUCUCUUGGUUCUGGCAUCGAUGAAGAACGCAGCGAAAUGCGAUAAGUAAUGUGAAUUGCAGAAUUCAGUGAAUCAUCGAAUCUUUGAACGCACAUUGCGCCCUCUGGUAUUCCGGAGGGCAUGCCUGUUCGAGCGUCAUUUCAACCCUCAAGCCUGGCUUGGUGAUGGGGCACUACUUUUGUGACAAAAGUAGGCCCUGAAAUUCAGUGGCGAGCUCGCCAGGACCCCGAGCGUAGUAGUUAUAUCUCGCUUUGGAAGGCCCUGGCGGUGCCCUGCCGUUAAACCCCCAACUUCUGAAAAUUUGACCUCGGAUCAGGUAGGAAUACCCGCUGAACUUAAGCAUAUCAAAARGSSGGGAGGAAA